rnacentral:rRNA from 1 species
GACGAACGCUGGCGGCGUGCUUAACACAUGCAAGUCGUACGGUAAGGCCCUUUCGGGGGUACACGAGUGGCGAACGGGUGAGUAACACGUGAGUAACCUGCCCACAACUUUGGGAUAACGCUAGGAAACUGGUGCUAAUACUGGAUAUGUGCUCCUGCUGCAUGGUGGGGGUUGGAAAGCUCCGGCGGUUGUGGAUGGACUCGCGGCCUAUCAGCUUGUUGGCGGGGUAGUGGCCUACCAAGGCGGCGACGGGUAGCCGGCCUGAGAGGGUGACCGGCCACAUUGGGACUGAGAUACGGCCCAGACUCCUACGGGAGGCAGCAGUGGGGAAUAUUGCACAAUGGGCGCAAGCCUGAUGCAGCAACGCCGCGUGCGGGAUGACGGCCUUCGGGUUGUAAACCGCUUUCAGCAGGGACGAAGCUUUUUGUGACGGUACCUGCAGAAGAAGCACCGGCUAACUACGUG